CCUACGGGUGGCAGCAGUAGGGAAUAUUCCACAAUGAGCGAAAGCUUGAUGGAGCGACACAGCGUGCACGAUGAAGGCCUUCGGAUUGUAAAGUUCUGUUAUCAGGGAAGAACAUUUCCAUUAGUAAAUGAUUUCGUACUGACGGUACCUUUUCAGACAGCGCUGGCUAACUAUGUGCCAGCAGCCGCGGUAAUACAUAGGUCGCAAGCGUUAUCCGGAAUUAUUGGGCGUAAAGCGUUCGUAGAGGGUUUGUUAAGUCUGGAGCAAAGUCUCGGGGCCAAACCCCGGCUCGCUUUGGAUACUAGCAAACUAGAGUUAGAUAGAGGUAAGCGGAAUUCCAUGUGAAGCGGUGAAAUGCGUAGAUAUAAGGAAGAACACCGAAGGCGAAGGCAGCUUACUGGGUCGAUACUGACGCUGAGGGACGAAAGCGUGGGGAGCAAACAGGAUUAGAUACCCUUGUAGUC
rnacentral:rRNA from 1 species